rnacentral:rRNA from 1 species
UACGUAGGGGGCAAGCGUUGUCCGGAAUCAUUGGGCGUAAAGCGCGUGUAGGCGGUCCGGUAAGUCCGCUGUGAAAGUCGGGGGGCUCAACCCUCGGAUGCCGGUGGAUACUGUCGGGCUUGAGUACGGAAGAGGCGAGUGGAAUUCCUGGUGUAGCGGUGAAAUGCGCAGAUAUCAGGAGGAACACCAAUUGCGAAGGCAGCUCGGCUGGGACGUUACUGACGCUGAGACGCGAAAGCGUGGGGAGCAAACAGG